rnacentral:rRNA from 1 species
CGCAUCUGUGCAUGCAGCAUAUCAAUAAGCGGAGGAAAAGAAACUAACAAGGAUUCCCCUAGUAACGGCGAGUGAAGCGGGAAGAGCUCAAAUUUGAAAUCUUAAAGGGUUUCCCUUUACGAAUUGUAGUUUAAAGAAGUGUUUUCUGUUGAGGUUUUGGUAAAAGUUCUUUGGAAUAGGACAUCAUAGAGGGUGAGAAUCCCGUAUUUGACCUUUACUUUCAACUUUGUGAUACACUUUCAAAGAGUCGGAUUGUUUGGGAAUGCAGUCCAAAAUGGGUGGUAAAUUUCAUCUAAAGCUAAAUAUUGGCGAGAGACCGAUAGCGAACAAGUACCGUGAGGGAAAGAUGAAAAGAACUUUGAAAAGAGAGUUAAACAGUACGUGAAAUUGUCAAAAGGGAAGCGUUUGACACCAGUGUUGUUUUUCUGAAAAUCAAUUAAAGAACUGUUUAUGCUAAGCUGUUUAGACUUUAUCAGCUAACUGUUUAGUUUUGAGCUUUUCUUUAAUGCACUUUUCAGUUAACAAGUCAACAUCAAUUCCUUUUGCUGUAAAAAAGCUUGAGGAAGGUGGCUUGAGAUUCGUCUUAAGUGUUUAUAGCCUCUUGCCUAUGCAGUCGGAGAGAUUGAGGUCUGCAGCGUAGAUCCUUCGGGGCUAGAUGCAUUUGUGCUAAGUUAUAGCAUUUUAUAGACAACUUGUUGACUAUGAUUUGUCUUGUAGCUUACUCGCUUAUGUUAUUUUACCUACGCUUAGGAUGUUGAGCGCAUGUCUCUCUCU